rnacentral:lncRNA from 1 species
AUAACAUCAACAAACUCUAAAAAUGCACAUCUCUUUGUAUAUGUGUGUGUGUGUGUGUAAUUACUAGAAGCCAUUAUUUAGAAACUUAAAUCUCUUAUAAAUAAACAUUGAUCUGAAAUUUAUUAAUUCUUUCAGCUUCAUAUCACUUUUUUUCUUCUUUUUUUCAAGAACGAAUCCCUUUCUCAUCCAUGCUUGGCUGUCUGGACUCCUACCUACCACUCCAUUUUUGGAAAAUCAUCCAAGUCCCUUUGUGACAUUACCCUAAGAAACUUCCCUGAUCCCACUUACUACACCCAAGAUAGAGUUAGUCACUUCCCCUUCAUAUGUAUUUUAAGUCUUUUAUCAUGUUUCUUAUACUCUAUAGUAAAUACAUAUGUAGUUGUCCUACAGACAACUUCCAGCAAGGCAGAUGAUGUCUUAUACCUUCAGUAUUUAAAACUGUGCCUGACAAGGGGAACUGAUAGGGGGUGGAAUUCAACUGAAGUAAGUUCGAGUUACUAUUUCUUUAGUACUUACUUUGUACCAAUCACAAAGGCUAAUAUUUCACGCACAUCUCUUCAGCCUUCACAGUAACCUUUCGAGCAGGAAGUAUUAUCUCUCAGAUGAAGAUGUUAGGCUUGGGAAAGUUGAGUAACUUGCCUUUGGCCACACAGCUAAUAAGUAACAGAGAAGGACGUUCGUACAGGGGCUUGUCACCAAGUCCAAGGCUAAUGAACUUAAAGCACUAUAGGAAAGCACGUGCAUUGGACAUACAUAUUUUACAGAUACAGAUCAUUUUUCUGAUAGAAAAAUUUUUCACAUGUAGUCCUAAUAGCUAGGACUACAGAUGCAUGCCACUAUGCCUGGCUAAUUUUUUUUCUUUCUUUUUUUUUUUUUUUUGAGACGGAGUUUCGCUCUUGUUGCCCAGGCUGGAGUGCAAUGGCACGAUCUCGGCUUACCGCAAUCUCCGCCUCCAGGGUUCAAGCAAUUCUCCUGCCUCAGCCUCCCGAGUAGCUGAGAUUACAAGCACGCACCACUAUGCCCAGCUAAUUUUGUAGUUUUAGUAGAGACGGGGUUUCUCCAUGUUGAGGCUGGUCUCGAACUCCUAACCUCAGGUGAUCCGCCUGCCUCAGCCUCCCAAAGUGUUGGGAUUACAGGCGUGAGUCACCGCGCCCGGCCCUGCCUGGCUAAUUUUUAAAUAUUAUAUUUUUUAAAGACAGGAUCUUUCUAUGUGCCCAAGCUAAUCUUAAACUGCUGGCUUCGAGCAGUCCUCCUGUCACUGGGAUUACAGGAAUAAGCCCCUCACGCCCAGCUACAGCAGGGUUUCUCGAAUUAAGCAUUAUUGGGAUAUUGGGCUGGAUAAUUCUUGUUAUGGAGGGUUGUCCUGGGUAUUGUAGGAUGUUUAGCGGCAUCCCUGGCCUAUACCCACUAGAUGCCAGUCGUUUCCCACUCCAGCCCCCAGUAGUGAAAACCAAAAAUGUCUCCAGACUUCGACAAACGUCCCCUGCCGGGUCAAAUCACCCAAGGCAGGAAG